rnacentral:rRNA from 1 species
ACGGAAGGCAGCAGUGGGGAAUAUUGGACAAUGGGCGAAAGCCUGAUCCAGCCAUGCCGCGUGAGUGAUGAAGGCCCUAGGGUUGUAAAGCUCUUUCGGCGGGGACGAUAAUGACGGUACCCGCAGAAGAAGCCCCGGCUAACUUCGUGCCAGCAGCCGCGGUAAUACGAAGGGGGCUAGCGUUGCUCGGAAUCACUGGGCGUAAAGGGCGCGUAGGCGGAUCUUUAAGUCGGGGGUGAAAGCCCAGGGCUCAACCCUGGAAUUGCCUUCGAUACUGAAGAUCUCGAGACCGGAAGAGGUAAGUGGAACUGCGAGUGUAGAGGUGAAAUUCGUAGAUAUUCGCAAGAACACCAGUGGCGAAGGCGGCUUACUGGUCCGGUUCUGACGCUGAGGCGCGAAAGCGUGGGGAGCAAACAGGAUUAGAUACCCUGGUA